rnacentral:rRNA from 1 species
GUGAAUUCUGUGAACUGCAGGACACAUGAACAUCGACAUUUUGAACGCACAUUGCGGUCUACGGAUAUAAUUCCCAGACCACACCUAGCUGAGGGUC